CCUACGGGAGGCAGCAGUGAGGAAUAUUGGUCAAUGGCCGGAAGGCUGAACCAGCCAAGCCGCGUGAAGGACGAAGGUGCCAAGCAUUGUAAACUUCUUUUGUCAAGGGAUAAAAUUAUGCUCGAGAGCCUGAUUGCGGGUACCUGAUGAAAAAGCAUCGGCUAACUCCGUGCCAGCAGCCGCGGUAAUACGGAGGAUGCGAGCGUUAUCCGGAUUUAUUGGGUUUAAAGGGUGCGUAGGCGGAGUGUUAAGUCAGCGGUAAAAGCGUGGGGCUCAACCCUAGCGAGCCGUUGAAACUGGCUGUCUUGAGAUGUCGAGAGGUAUGCGGAAGGCGCGGUGUAGCGGUGAAAUGCUUAGAUAUUGCGCAGAACUCCGAUUGCGAAGGCAGCAUACCGGCGGCGAACUGACGCUGAGGCACGAAAGCGUGGGUAUCGAACAGGAUUAGAUACCCUGGUAGUC
rnacentral:rRNA from 1 species